GCCAACAGAUAGGCAUCAUACACAAAAACAUUUAAGGCAAGACAACAUCUUUAAAAAUCACGAACAUGUGUUCAAGUUUUCAUAAAAUACAAUUUGUAUUUUUAGUAUAAGAAAGCUCACCUUGUUCGUUUAGUUCCUUUAACUUGAAUUUCUUACUCCGACCUUACUUGCGAAAGCACCCUUUUGAAAAUAUCACAAUAUAAUAAUACACUAAUUAGACUCAAGGACAAAACUACUUACAUUAGAAUGCAUGCACCCUCAUUAAAGUCUUUUAUCUCGUUUCUUGAUUUUCGCGUAUUUUCGAUUAUUCGGCGGCCGCCCAAGGCGUCACGUGCGACUCCAGUCGGCCGCUCACGCCCAUAAGUCCUCUGUUGGCUCCUCGUAUUUCCCUCCCCGAUAUCGAAUUAAAAUCCCAAAAAUUACAAAAGUGCACAAUUAAAUUAUCGCAACCAUUUCCCCUUGAAAAAAAAUAUUUAUUUCGGACUUAGGAUAAAAUUAUUCAUCCUCCGAAAUAUUCUGGGAUUAAUUAAAUAAUUCUCAACAAUAAAAUUAUCGGUCCAAGUAUUAAUUAAUUUGACCCAAGAUAAUUGUUAUCUUAGCCCACCUUAUUUCUCCAAUUAAAACUUGAGCCCAACACAAAAUAAAAGAGAUCCCAAAACAUAAGUAAAUUUCGAAAUUGGACUUCCCUUCAUUUAUUUACUGCACCCCAAUUGUUAAAAGGAAUUGGGCUCAAAAUUAAAUUCUUCCCCUCCCUUAGCCCAAGUAACUAAUUUAUUAGUCCAACAAAAAACAAAACCCACAUACUCCACCCCCACUAUCGGUUUCUUCCUCUCUCAACACUAUUCACACUUCUUCCCCAAAUUGGACAAAUCUCUCUCUCUUCUUUCCGUCGACCAGCCAUCCCCCGGCGUCGCCGUCGCCGUCGCUCCUCUCUCCACUCUCUCCCUCUUAUCUCCUCUCUCAGCCUCACGCCGUCGCUCGCCACCCCCCUCCGCUGGUCCAGAUUCGUCGCACCGCCACCACCGCUGCGGGUCUGCCGACGCCGUGGGUUCGCGCCCCGCCGUCACCGAGGAUCUCCCCCCCAGCCGCCGACGCCGAUUUGCUGCCGUUUCAGAUCAGCCGCCGCUACCGGAGUUGUCCGUCAGUUUUGGCAGCUUCGUUUCCACCCCCGAAACAACUCCGAUUAACUCCGCAGAUGAGGAAGAAACUCGAUUCAAGCUCGUGGCUGUCCGCGUUAAAGUACCCGAUUUUCUUAGAACGCAUGAUGCAUAGAUUAAAUUUUGUUUGACUUUUGUUGAAUGUAUCGGACAUUAAAAUUUUGAUUUUUGGAUCUUAUUUAUUUAUUUAUUUAAAUUUAUUAUACUCA